GCAUCACCAUUCUUAGCAGUGCUCAGGAGGAUAACAGCAAACAAGACAGACAAACACUGCUGGGAAGCCAAUCAAACAUGCCGUCCCACACAGGGCAGGGAUAAUGGACAGAACCCGUCCGCCAGGGGUCCGAGGGACAGCUGACAACCUCAGAAGACACCCCCCCCCCCCGCGCCCCCUUCCAGUUUUUGGAAUACAUCACAGCCCACACUGAGGUCCCGGCAUGAUCCACCGGAGAGCUGCAUGUGCUUGUGAACACCUGUGUCCUCCUGCAGGUGUGGUACCCCACAUCUGGACAAGAGAGGGUCAACCACCGACCAUUUGUGAUGCUGUCACUGAGCCAGGAUGCAGGGGAGGAAGAGAAAGCUGGAGGGGUCCAUCAGAUCCCCAGGCUGUGGCCCCGCCAGUGAGACCCGGCCCCUCCUGACUCGGCCCAGCAGUGACCUGAAGAACCUCACGUGUGCCUUGUGACUCCUCCGCCUGUGCUCCCCGUCUCUUUACAUCGGUGCUUCUCUUGGUUGACGUUGGACUUCUGCAGUCCAGAGCUGGGAGAAAGGUUUGACCAGGUGCAAUGAGUAUUUGUCCCCUGGGACCUGAACCUGCACACAGGAGUCUGGCAGUGCCCACGUUCUGAAGCAGGUGUGGUGUCCUGCGUCACUGGGCUCCAUCUGGGCAGACGUGAGGAGGGGGUGGCAGGUUAUCAGGGGCCGAGUGAACAAGAGAGUCGCAGGACCAAGUUAGCAAAGCAGCCUUCAGGCUCUGAUGCUGAUCAGAUGAUCAGAAGGUUCAGGAUCAGUGAGAACCUUGGGUGGGUUGAAGGGAUUAUGAAGCAUCCACAGCAGUGUCUACAGAGAACGGGGUUUGCCCUGUCCCCAGGCAGGGAGAGGAGCUGCUACCCCUUGAACGGCAGAUGCUUUCAUGGGUCCACAGGGUGGUGUUGUGUCAGGAAGAAACUGACAACUCUCCCCGCUCCCCUGCCCUGGCCGCCUUGCUUAGGAGUCUCUGGGUUGAUAGGAAAGGCAAACCUGAAUUCUUUGCCUCUCGGCAUCCAGGGAACAGGUCGGUGCCACGUCUCCAUCAUCUGUGCCAUCUGUAGCCACAAAGCCAGCGCACAGCCUCGCAGUGACGCCAAGCAGCCUGGCCAGUUGCCCUGGUGCAAAUCACACAGCUCUGGAGCCUGGAGGUCUGAGACGGGGGAGCCAGCGCCGUCGGGUUCCUGGUGAUGGUUCUUCGGUUCUUCCCCCGUUAUGACCUUGAAGCGUUCCUCCUAUGUGGGUGCUGAUCCCAUCAUGGGGCCCCACCCUCAUGACCUCAUCUAAAGUGAGUUACCCCUGAAGACCCUGUUCCCAAAUACCUUCAACAAAUACACUGGGGAGGGGACAUUCUGUCCAUAGUAGCUCAUUAGCCUCACAUCAUUCCCCCCCCCCAAUUAAUUUUGGAUGUCCACAGGGGCUCUCAGGCAUUGUUCUUUUACCCUGGCUGUCUUGCUAUGUCAGUGCCAUCAAGGAAGCUCGUUGGCGCUAUGACCGCUGCCACUUUGGAGGACACCACCUCCCUCCUCGAGGAACCCCUAAAAUACCCCAAAAUGCUCCAAAGGUCAAAGGGAGCUGGGUCCUCCUUGGGCUGCCCUCAGCCACGCUCCUUGAGGAAAGAGAGAAAUGCCCUCUUUCGCAAUUUCUUUUUCACUUUGAUAUCUGUCUUUGGGAAAAGAGCCCCAUCGACCGUUCAGCCUGCACUGCCCCCUCCCCAGAUUCCCUCCUCAUGGGCCUUGCCAGUUACUCAGGCGGUGUUGGGGAGGUCAGGGGGCAGGACAUCGUGAGCCUCUGGCUCAAUGUCACUGUAAGCUCAGAAUCAAGCUGGGCCUGUGCCCAAGUGCAUGUGUGUUUGUCCAUGUCACGUAGCUGCAGUGUUGCGAUAAGCACAGUUCGAUGUGAUUUUGCUGCUCUCUGCCAUUUAAGAUUAUAUUAUAAAUAUUCUUACCUGUUCAAAUUGAGAAACAUUUUUUCAUUGCUACACAUAUUGCCGUGUAUUGAUAAGUCAUGAUUUGUCUCUGCUCACGGGGCAUCUGGGUUAUUUACAUGUUUAUGUCCAUUUUAAGUAAUACGGCCAGGAAUGUCUUUCCAUGUCAACUGCUGUGAUUUGCCUUGCAGUGAAAUUAAUGGGUCAGAGGGCAUUCAAGCUUUAAGCCAUAACUCUGAUGAUGGAAUAAGAUGCACAGUGGGG
rnacentral:lncRNA from 1 species